rnacentral:rRNA from 1 species
GAUGAACGCUGGCGGCGUGCCUAAUACAUGCAAGUCGAGCGAACGGACGAGAAGCUUGCUUCUCUGAUGUUAGCGGCGGACGGGUGAGUAACACGUGGAUAACCUACCUAUAAGACUGGGAUAACUUCGGGAAACCGGAGCUAAUACCGGAUAAUAUUUUGAACCGCAUGGUUCAAAAGUGAAAGACGGUCUUGCUGUCACUUAUAGAUGGAUCCGCGCUGCAUUAGCUAGUUGGUAAGGUAACGGCUUACCAAGGCAACGAUGCAUAGCCGACCUGAGAGGGUGAUCGGCCACACUGGAACUGGGACACGGUCCGGACUCCUACGGGAGGCAGCAGUAGGGAAUCUUCCGCAAUGGGCGAAAGCCUGACGGAGCAGCGCCGCGUGAGUGAUGAAGGUCUUCGGAUCGUAAAACUCUGUUAUUAGUGAAGAACAUAUGUGUAAGUAACUGUGCACAUCUUGACGGUACCUAAUCAGAAAGCCACGGCUAACUACGUG